rnacentral:rRNA from 1 species
AGAGUUUGAUCCUGGCUCAGGACGAACGCUGGCGGCGUGCUUAACACAUGCAAGUCGAGCGAGGCCUCUCCUUCGGGGGGGUGCCCUAGCGGCGAACGGGUGAGUAACCGUGGGCAACCUGCCCUCAGCUUCGGGAUAACUCCAAGAAAUUGGUGCUAAUACCGGAUGUGACCCUGACCGCAUGGUCUGGUGGUGGAAAGAUUCAUCGGCUGGGGAUGGGCCCGCGGCCUAUCAGCUUGUUGGUGGGGUCACGGCCCACCAAGGCGACGACGGGUAGCCAGCCUGAGAGGGUGACCGGCCACACUGGGACUGAGACACGGCCCAGACUCCUACGGGAGGCAGCAGUGGGGAAUAUUGCGCAAUGGGCGAAAGCCUGACGCAGCGACGCCGCGUGAGGGAUGACGGCCUUCGGGUUGUAAACCUCUUUCAGUAGGGACGAAGCGGAAGUGACGGCACCUACAGAAGAAGCACCGGCCAACUACGUGCCAGCAGCCGCGGUAAUACGUAGGGUGCAAGCGUUGUCCGGAAUUAUUGGGCGUAAAGAGCUCGUAGGCGGUCUGUCGCGUCGGCUGUGAAAACCCGAGGCUCAACCUCGGGCCUGCAGUCGAUACGGGCAAACUGGAGUACUGCAGGGGAGACUGGAAUUCCUGGUGUAGCGGUGAAAUGCGCAGAUAUCAGGAGGAACACCGGUGGCGAAGGCGGGUCUCUGGGCAGUAACUGACGCUGAGGAGCGAAAGCGUGGGGAGCGAACAGGAUUAGAUACCCUAGUAGUCC